CAUACGUAUGUGGAAACGAGGCGUAACAGUUUAGUGAUGCCGCAGCGCGUUGAAGUCCGUCCCAAGGCGUCCGUAAGGCUUCAAUAAUUUGCAUGCUUGAAAGCCGUGACAUAAGUUGAAAACGUCUGAGGAGUUAUUCCCUGGAUGGAUGUAAGGAACAUGUUGUCGGACAUUAAUUAGUUGUGGAAUUAAUUGUAUAUUUAACCGGAAUGGAGCAUCGGAACUAAAACGCUGUGAUUAAAGUCUUGUUUGACGUGAGGAUUAUUUGAACGGAAAAAGCCGUAUAAUGAUCCAGUUGAUGACACGAAGUGAAUGACUUUAAUCACCACCGUACGGAACGUUGAGGAGCUGCGGCCCGUUUGACUUUUGAAAACGUUUGACUUUUCCGCGCCCCGUUUGAAAACGUGCUUUAACUCUGCAACUUAUGUGCGCGUAUAAAUUUGCGUGGUUGAUUUGUCGACAAAAUGUCAAUUGAAAAUAAAGACGCCAGUAAUGUGGUGGAAUAUGAGGAGCAUGAUGCAAAUGUGGUGGGAGGCAAUCGCCCUGUCGCAAAAACUAAAGAUGGAAGCGAGUCAGAAGUUAAACCAAAGAGAGUGCCAAAGUUAACUGAAAAGGGACUCGCAGCUAAAUUGGAGCGGUUAACUAAAUCGAGAAGUGCUAAAUUAAAGCAGCUGAUCACAAGCAGAAAUCAAAUUGAAUCACUUAUGGUUGAAUAUGAUAAUCUGGAGGUUAUUUCACAAAUGCACAUCAACUUCACUGUGCUUAUCGAGGAUUUUAGUAAAAUACAAUGCUCAAUUUAUGAACUGCUUCCAAAGGAGAGAAAGGAAGAUGAUCACACAAAAUGGUACUUACCAAAUCUUGCCAGAUUUAAUGAAUUCAAAAGUACAGUAAAAAAAUGGAAGCAAUAUGCAGCAACACUUGCACAAGAGCAUCAAGCCACAGAGGUUCAAGAAGAGCAUACUUCUGGUGCCUCUCUCAUAAGCAAGGUUCCUCAAAGCAGCACAAGGAGCAGCCAUAUAUCUUCUACAGCUUCCUCUUCCAGGCGUAAAGCUGAAGCUGAAAGAGCAGCGCUCAUGGCACAAGCUGAAGGUCUUAAAAAUAAACUUGCACUUGAAAGGGAAGAAGCUGAGCUCACUCAAAGGUGGGAACAAAUAAGAGCUCAAAAGGAAAUAAGCAUUGAAACCCAACUUGCUGCUGCAGAUGCUAAAAUCAAGGUUUAUGAUGAGCUGGAUGGAAGGAGCAGUGUGCUUUCAAGGCAAAAGGAAAAAGACUUUACUUUACUUCAGCUCAGUACGAUGGGGCAGAAGAUGCUGUUGAUGGAGAGGAGCAGGAUGAUGACGAUGAAGCUGGUGAUGACGAAGGAGAUGAACUUGCAGAUGACAAGAACUACAGUCAUGUUGCUGCACAGUUACCUGGACAGAGCUCAUAUGCCCCUAGAGGUGAAAAGCGGCAUGUACAAGUUAAAGGUCCAACUUUCAAGACAGAAUUAUUGCAAUUACCAGUAUCCCACACUGACAAACAUGCCCAUGACAAACACAGUGCAGACAUCAACCUGAUGAAAAUAAUGCAAAAGCAGAACGAAAUAACGGAAAUGCUGAUUAAAGAACAAAGACUCUCAACUUUGCCCUCAAAGGAAAUUCCUGUUUUUAAAGGUGACCCCAUGCAAUACUUGACUUUCAUUCGCACCUUUGAACAUUGCAUUGAAGGAAAAACAAGUAAUGAGAGGGACAGAUUGUUCUUCCUAGAUCAGUACACUGAAGGGCAGCCAAAAUUACUUGUGAGAAGCUGUCUACAUAUGGAACCUGAAAAAGGGUACAACAAAGCAAAGCAAUUGUUGCAAAAACACUUUGGGAACGACAUCCUUAUUGCUUCAGCCUAUCAAGAGAAGGCAUUGAAUUGGCCAGUACUUAAGUCCGAAGAUCGAGCAGCACUGCAAGAGUACGCUUAUUUUUUGCGUAGUUGUGGUAAUGCCAUGAUUGACGUUGAAGCUCUUAAUGACAUGAACAAUACAUCUCACAUGAGAACCUUUGUCUCAAGGCUUCCUUUCAAAUUGAGAGAAAAAUGGAGAGGUAAAGCUUAUGAGUGUUAUGAGCGAACCCAAGCAAGAGCCAAGUUCAUGCAAUUAGUCAGUUUGUUGAAAGACAGGCAAAUAUGGCAUGCGACCCAUUAUUUGGAAACAUCCAAGAUGUCACACCAAAGGACGAUAGGAAAAAAAUCCCCAGAGUAAAAUCAGGCUCUGCAUACAAGAGUAGCUUCACAACUGUGACAACAGAAGAACCGCUUCAAAAUCCAACCCCUGUUUUGACGGCACGACCCAGAAUAUGUUUGUUCUGCAAAAAGGACCACACAACUGAAACUUGUAAAGAAUUGAACGGAAAAAAGCGUGAAGAGAAAGUUGAAUUCUUCAAAGUCAACGGAAUCUGCUUCGGCUGCAUGAACAAGGGUCAUCUAAGUAAGGAUUGCAGGAGGAGACUGAGUUGUAAGAUCUGCUCAUUAAAGCACCCCACCAUGCUGAACAUCGAAAGAAAUAAACCAGAGGAAAUCAGGAGGCAGAAUGAAGACAGAGCGACAGCAGUAAACAGCUCUCUGGUAUCACUGGAGAAACCCGCUCAUACUGGGGCCGGUGAUAACCAAACAUUAGCCAUUGUACCAGUAAAGGUCAAACUGUCGAGCUGCAAUAAAGCCAUCCAUACUUACGCCUUUUUAGACCCAGGCGGUACUGCCACUUUUUGCACAACUACCUUACAAAGACAACUGAAUGCUAAAGGAAGGAAAACAAGAAUUUUACUGAAAACCCUUGGACACGAGAAGGUUGUGAAUGUAGACAGAAUCUCCGGUUUGGAAGUAUCGAAUCUUGAAGGAGAUGAUUUUAUUGCGCUGCCAGCGGUCUACACGCAAGAGGAGAUACCUGUUACAAAGGAGCAAAUUCCCACAUUGGAAGCCUUGAAGGAAUGGGAUUACCUAAAGGAGGUUGUAUUGACCCAUAUUGAUGCUGAAAUCGGGCUUCUGAUAGGAACUAACGCACCUAAGACCAUGGAACCAUGGAAGAUAAUAAACAGCCAAGAAGGUGGUCCUUAUGCUGUCAAGACCAGGCUAGGAUGGGUGGUUAAUGGACUUUUGAACGACUGCAGUGACGCUGAAGGUCAGCUUCGCCAGGUUCACAGUAAUUGAAUAGCAGUUGUAAACUUGGACGAUCUUGUAAGAACUUCAAUCAAGACUUCCCUGAGAAGGUGUAUGAGGAGAAGGCUGAAAUGUCCAUACAAGAUAAACAAUUCAUGCGCAUUAUGUCUGCUUCCGCCAAAAUGAAAGAUGGACACUUCCAGCUAAAACUCCUGUUCAAAAAGGAUGACAUCUCCAUGCAGAGCUUUCCGGAUGAAGUUGCGAGUUUGAAGAGUGAAACUAGGAAUGUCAAAAGACAAAGCCCAAUCUUUAAGCUUGAUCCUAAGCUGGAUAAUGGAAUACUGAGAGUCGGGGGAAGACUGAGUAAGCUGGCCAUGCCGGAAGAGACAAAGCACCCCGUCAUCCUAGCAAAGAAUCACCAUGUGUCGAGGUUAAUUCUUGAAAAUAUCCAUAGACAAAUAGGACAUUGUGGAAGGAACUACAUGUUAUCUGUUUUAAGGCAGAAAUAUUGGAUCCCUUGCGCCAAUGCAUUGUCCAGAACAAUUAUAAACGACUGUGUAAAAUGUAGACGUCUACGAGGUGACGUUGGCGAGCAGAAAAUGGCGGUUUUGCCUAGAGACAGGAUCACUCCCGAUCUGCCACCCUUCACUAAUGUCGGAGUGGAUUAUUUCGGCCCCAUCGAGGUCUAAAGAGGAAGGGGCACAAUAAAAAGAUAUGGAGUCAUUUUCACAUGUUUAGCCAGUCGUGCGGUACACCUGGAGGUGGCGCAUUCCCUUGACACAGAUUUGUGCGUUAAUGCCCUCCGACGAUUCAUUUGUAGGCGAGGACAAGUAAACAAACUAAGAUCCGAUAACGGGACCAACUUCAUUGCUGCUGAGCGAGAGUUGAAGGAAGCACUUAAAGCAUGGAAUCAGGACAAGAUCAGCAAGGCUUUGCAACAGAAAGGUGUGAAAUGGACCUUUAAUCCCCCUGCAGCUGCCCAUCAUGGAGGUGUGUGGGAGAGAUUGAUUCGGUCGCUGAAAAAGGUUUUGCUCUCCGUCAUAAAACAGCAAAUAUUAGAUGACGAAAUCCUCACCACUGUCAUGUGUGAGGUUGAAGCUAUCCUUAAUAGCCGUCCCCUGACCACUGUAUCAGAUAAUCCAAACGGCUUGGAACCGCUGACCCCAAACCACCUACUACUAUCCAAAGUACAGCCCUUGCUCCCACCGGGAACCUUUAAGCAAGAGGACACGUACGUAAGAAGACGUUGGCGCCAAGUACAAUACAUAUCAGACCUGUUCUGGUCCAGGUGGCUUAAAGAGUAUCUACCGCUCCUGCAGGAACGCCAGAAAUGGAGCAGAGUUAGGCGGAAUUUCAUGGAAGGAGACAUUGUGCUAAUAGCAGAUGUAACCGCCCCUAGAGGGUCAUGGGUUAUUGCUAGAAUCGUGAACAUCAACCCUGACCAAAGAGGUGUCGUGAGGAGUGUAAAGCUUCAAACCCGGACCAACUUAAUCGAAAGACCGGUCACCAAGAUCGUGCUCCUGGUUCCGGCUACCGAAUUAAGACGCACACUUAGUUGACACUAGUUGUAGUCAAUUAACCUACUUUAAUGUAUGCAUAGACUCCUGCCAAGACUCCUCUCUAGCAGAGUGAGUCCAGAAUACAGUUAGGCAGAGGUGUUCAAACUGUUUCACAUGAACAGCUAUUCAAACAACCCCCCACAAUGAAAAUGUCAAUAAUACAGAGACACAGAGUUGCCUGUGUUCACAUCAAGGAGAAGAAUGCAUAAGGGUGUGCCCUCUUCCUUGUGGCGGUUUACUCAAGCACAAAGGUAGGUGAGGCCAUAAGGGCCUGUUUUUAUGGUCUAAAAAAGUGGCCAAACGGGGCCAAACGAGGUCAGGCCAUGGCUGUGUGUGCUGUCUUCACUGGCCAUGCUAAAUUGUAAUAAACGAGUAUCCACUGUCUACAGUAGCCCGUUGUUUCAAAGAAAACCAUUAUUUGAUUUUUUUGUUGUCAAUGUUUUUCCACCCGGAGAACUAAAUGAGCUAAGUGUGUGAGGAUCAGGAACGAUGGGUGUUCCAGGAUACACUGCAUCAUUUACCUUUUUGAAUAAAAAAAAACACCCCGCUGUAGGUUGCCCUUCAAUAGGUGCCUUUUUCUCUGGGAAUAUUGGGGUACUACAUGGUGAAUCAGGACACGGAACUGUCACACCGGCUUCCUACCAUGAGUUGAAAACCGGUGCAAUACCAUCGAUCGCCUCUUGGCAUAACCUGUACUGGUAUUGUAUGUCUAGCGGAUUCUGCAUGCAGUGGUGUGCGUCUGUUAUCAGUAUGUCAGCCAUUGACCCCGGUCCCUCUUGCAGCAUGAAUAAAAGCAUCCUGGAGUGCGUAACACUCACAAGUAUGCUUGGAUCAUGGGGCUUGCAUCGGAGACGGAUGGACGUUAACCCUGUCACAAACUGGAAUGCUCCCCUGGUGUGGGAAGGGACCUUUGACCCAGUGGUGAUAGAUUCCAUUUACAAAAGAAUGGAUCCAAGAAUUGCUGUAAUAGUGUUCGCGGUUGGCAAGUACACUCGUUUUUUGAAGGGCUUCCUUGAAUCAGGAGAGAAGCACUUUAUGGUGGACUUCAAACUAACCUAUUACAUCUUUACAGACCAUGUGGAUGAGGUUCCCAAAAUUGACCAAGCUAUGGGCCGGAAGAUCACCAUCCUCCCGGUUCCCAGUGCCACUCGUUGGCAAGACGUGGUGCUGGGUAGGAUGAAGUAUGCCACCAUCGCCAUCGACCAACAGAUUCGUAAUCAGUCCGACUAUAUCUUCAUGAUGGACAUCGACAGCCUCUUCCACGGCCGAGUCGGAGCUGAAUCUCUCAGUCGGAUGUCGGCUGUUCUUCAUCGAGGAUACUACAAGG